rnacentral:rRNA from 1 species
AUUGAACGCUGGCGGCAUGCUUUACACAUGCAAGUCGGACGGCAGCAUAAAAGAGCUUGCUCUUUUAAUGGCGAGUGGCGAACGGGUGAGUAAUGCAUCGGAACGUACCGAGUAGUGGGGGAUAACUGUCCGAAAGGAUGGCUAAUACCGCAUAUUCUCUGAGGAGGAAAGCAGGGGACCUUAGGGCCUUGCGCUAUUUGAGCGGCCGAUGUCUGAUUAGCUAGUUGGUGGGGUAAGAGCCCACCAAGGCGACGAUCAGUAGCGGGUCUGAGAGGAUGAUCCGCCACACUGGGACUGAGACACGGCCCAGACUCCUACGGGAGGCAGCAGUGGGGAAUUUUGGACAAUGGGCGCAAGCCUGAUCCAGCCAUGCCGCGUGUAUGAAGAAGGCCUUCGGGUUGUAAAGUACUUUUGUCAGGGAAGAAAAGCCUGAGGAUAACACCCUCAGGUCAUGACGGUACCUGAAGAAUAAGCACCGGCUAACUACGUGCCAGCAGCCGCGGUAAUACGUAGGGUGCGAGCGUUAAUCGGAAUUACUGGGCGUAAAGCGAGCGCAGACGGUUAUUUAAGCAAGAUGUGAAAGCCCCGGGCUCAACCUGGGAACUGCGUUUUGAACUGGGUAACUAGAGUGUGUCAGAGGGGGGUAGAAUUCCACGUGUAGCAGUGAAAUGCGUAGAGAUGUGGAGGAAUACCGAUGGCGAAGGCAGCCCCCUGGGAUAACACUGACGUUCAUGCUCGAAAGCGUGGGUAGCAAACAGG